GAAAUGCGAUAAGUAAUGUGAAUUGCAGAAUUCAGUGAAUCAUCGAAUCUUUGAACGCACAUUGCGCCCGCCAGUAUUCUGGCGGGCAUGCCUGUCCGAGCGUCAUUUCAACCAUCAGGCCGCCCCCCCCCCCGGGGGGUGGAGGUGCCUGUGUUGGGGACCUGCGGCUGCCCGCAGGCCCCGAAAACCAGUGGCGGGCUCGCUGUCCAUCCCGAGCGCAGUAGUUUUUCCCGAAGGAAAGAAUCUCGCUCCGGGCGUGGCGGCGGGCGCCCUGCCGUUAAAGAAACCCCCCCAAAAGGUUGACCUCGGAUCAGGUAGGAAUACCCGCUGAACUUAA
rnacentral:misc_RNA from 1 species